GGACCAAGGAGUCUAGCAUGUGCGCAAGUCAUUGGGAUUUAUAAUAAACCUAAAGGCGUAAUGAAAGUAAAUAUAUGUAAUAUUUUACAUAUUAUAUAUAAAGGGAAGAUGGGUAACGUUAUUUAUGUUACCUCGCAUUCCCGGGGCGUCGCGUAUUCAUUGCGAAUUGCGGCGCACCAAGAGCGUACACGCUGGGACCC
rnacentral:rRNA from 2 species